rnacentral:rRNA from 1 species
GAUGAACGCUGGCGGCGUGCCUAAUACAUGCAAGUCGAGCGAACAGACGAGGAGCUUGCUCCUCUGACGUUAGCGGCGGGCGGGUGAGUAACACGUGGAUAACCUACCUAUAAGACUGGGAUAACUUCGGGAAACCGGAGCUAAUACCGGAUAAUAUAUUGAACCGCAUGGUUCAAUAGUGAAAGACGGUUUUGCUGUCACUUAUAGAUGGAUCCGUGCCGCAUUAGCUAGUUGGUAAGGUAACGGCUUACCAAGGCAACGAUGCGUAGCCGACCUGAGAGGGUGAUCGGCCACACUGGAACUGAGACACGGUCCAGACUCCUACGGGAGGCAGCAGUAGGGAAUCUUCCGCAAUGGGCGAAAGCCUGACGGAGCAACGCCGCGUGAGUGAUGAAGGUCUUCGGAUCGUAAAACUCUGUUAUUAGGGAAGAACAAAUGUGUAAGUAACUAUGCACGUCUUGACGGUACCUAAUCAGAAAGCCACGGCUAACUACGUG